GCCCUUAUAGCUCAAUGGAUAGAGCAACAGCCUUCUAAGCUGUAGGUUCCUGGUUCGAAUCCAGGUGAGGGUACCA
rnacentral:tRNA from 1 species